CAGGACUGUGCAGUUGGCUUUUUUCCUUACAGUCCUUGAGUUCCCUGUCUCUUUGUGGAGCCUGCUGGGUGAACUCUAGGGUGCCUGCUGCAGUGGAAUUGUGCCUCUUUCUCUCGAAGCAGAAGGUGCAAGUAUAGUAUUAAAAGCUUAAAAGCUUUAAAUUAAAAUUAAAAAUUAAAAGCGUUAAAGCUGAUGGGUACAGGUAUAUGUGGGUGUCACAGUUUAAAAGUAUGUCUGCAAAUUCUUUAAUUUUCCUCCUUUCAAGAGGUAGAGUCUAAUCAUCAUCUUGCCUUCUUUCCCCAGAGUGUGGGCUAGACUUGGUGACUUGCUUAUAAAGACUAGAAUAAGGCAGGAGUGAUCGUGAUAGAACACGACUCCAGAGAUUAGGUCAUAAACGGGGUUGUGGCUUUCUCCCUGCUCUCUCUGUCUCUCUCUCUCUCUUGGACUGCUCACUCUGGGGGAUGCCAGCUGAUGCGUGUCGUGAGUACACUCAAGGAGCCCUAUGGAGAGAGGUCAAUUGCCAACAGCCAUGUGAACAAUCCACUUUGGAAAUAGAUUCUCCAGCCUCGUCAUGCCCUCAGAUAACUGCAGCCCUGGAUGACACCUUGAUGGCAACCUCAUGACAGACUCUGAGCCGGAACCACCCCUCUAAGCUGCUCCCAAAUUCCUGACCCAUAGAAACUGUGAGGUUUUUCCAUCUACCAAGGAUGGAUAAGGCUGAGGAUAUAAUUAAGCAAUAGAAACAGCAAAACUAGAGAUGGUACUCUGCAAACAUGUUCCAUGAGGAGACAGAAAGAAUCUACCAAGCCUAUAGGCAUUACACAGACGCAGAUCCAGAAGACCCUAAGAACCUCAAGAUGAUGAAUAUGACUUUCAUAGGACAAAGUGCCCCAGACCUUACAAGGAAGCUAGAGAAACUGGAUGGGCAUUAGGUAUGAAUCCAUCUUACUUAGUAGACAUUGCUUUUUUUUUUUUGCUGGGAAAUAUUAGCCCUGAGAUAACAUCUAUUGCCAAUCUUCCUCUCUUUCUCUUUUUUUUCCUCCCCAAAGCCGCAGCACAUAGUUGUAUACUAUAGCUGUAAGUCCUUCUAGUUCUUCUAUGUGAGCUGCCACCAUAGCGUGGCAACUGACAGUUAAGUGGUGUGGUUCCACACGCGGGAACCGAACCAGAGCUGCUGAAGCAGAGCACACACAACUUUAACCACUAAGCCAUCAGGGCUGGCUCAGUAGAUAUUUAUUUUAAGGUGUACAACAACAAGGAAUGAUGGAUAAAGCAGGAAGAAGUUAAAAGAAAUGCUUCUCUGGCAGCUGCUCUGAGUGGACAGAAACCAAAUCAUCCCAGUGGAGGGGCCAGCCAACUGAAGGGAGGUCGACCUACCCAUCUGAUUUCGCUUUACAUUCUUACCAGCUGGAUGACAGAGUCCUGUUCAAAAGCUGGAAAGAACAAGGUCUUGAGCAUCAGCUGUCUGCUAAAUGGACAGGCUGCUUUCACCACCUGUUCUUCCAUGGAGCUCUCUGGAGUAAAACCGUGGAUACAUUGAAUCCAGAUAAAACAAGCUCUACCAGAAGAGACAACAGAGCAACCUGAGACCACCUCCUGAAAGUGCGAACACAUCAAGGAUUUAAGAUGUGUAUUCUGUAAAGUUCCUUAAUCUUUACACAAUACUUAGGACAAAUACAAGGAAUCAAGUAUGCUUUAACAUGUCCUCUAGCGCUCAAGAGACAAUUUGUUUCUGUUUUGCUAUUAAUGGUUAUGAGAUUGCCUCAUGUCAGUUAUAACUUCUGCCUCCAGAAACAUCUUCCCUUUCUGAUUGUUGGUUACUGAUCAUGGAGAAAAGUCACUAACUUUGAUCCCCUGACAGAUGGCCACAAUACCCACUUUAAUUCUAUGAGGCUAGUAUUUUUAUAUGAUAUAAACACCUAGACAUUAAUUUGGACUUUAUGGGGUACAUUUAUUAUAUAGGACAGACUUUAGGGAAAACUGCUUGGGAACUUCUCCCAGGGAAGGUUUUUGGUAGAGAUAUAAUCAGGACUAGAGCCACCAAGUAUCAGCAUUAUUAUGUUGCCAUUGGAAUCAAUGAUGAGUUGCUAAAAAAAAAAUACCAGGUUAUAACAGCAGUUACUUAGCCAAACCUUGUGUUUCCUGUCAUAGUGCCAUGUGUCCCCAUUCCCCUCAGCCAUGUUUUUGUGGAUGGGUACCAAAAACCAAAUCUUCUAAUAAGAAGGGAUGAUCACAUGCAGUAGGAGUAAAAUGGUGGACCACUGCUAACAAAGGACAAAAAGAGAUUUUAGGAUCAUUCGGGGCUAGAUUGAGUGUAUUGGGCCAAGUGGAAAUGGCAUUUGAUAAAAACUAUCACAGGCAAGAGAUGCAAUAUUUAAUGGCAUCAGGAAAAUUAGGUGGAUUAUUGUUUCAAGAAGAAGGAAAGGGUUGGGAAGCAGUCUGGAAGACCAACCAAGCUUUAGACAAAUGGAUAAGCAAAACUCAGGAAAUAAUGACAAAAUAUGCUGAGUCUCAACUGUGGGAAAAGGCAUGUGCCUCUACCCAGCAAAGCUUAAUAGACAUGCUUCUCUAAAUGGAAUCAGAAGUAGCAAUGAAACAAUGGCCCACUAUCUUAACAGCUGAGGCCCAAGAAACCCACUUAUGGGAAAAUAUGGGACACCAAACAUAUGGGAAAUAAUUGAAGGAAUUUUAAGUCUACACUGUUGUUCUCUGACUGCCUUAGUACUCAAAUUAAGAAAAGAUUUCAAACAUGAAGUAGUACAGCUUGUAGGAAUAGAUACCCUCCACAACAAUUACCAAAUACUUCCUAUGGGAAGUUUCUGGACCCUCUUUUCCUUGCAUAACUCAAUGGGAACCAAUUUCAGUUAUGAGUUGUAAAUAACGAAAUGGUUACAUUGGCUAUUCCAACAUAUGGCUAUGCCCACAACAGCAAUGGAACUCAGAGGUAAGUCUGACUUGGCCUGUGGUAAGAACUCUGGUUCAAGAUACAUUUGGUACAUGGAAAAAGGGAGAUUCUGUUGGGAAGGUGCCAUGAAUCAUACUGAUUCGUCCGUUUGAUCUGAUAAUCGUCCGUUUAUCAGAUCCUUAUCGUGACCAAACUGAGUUCAUAAUGAAUUUGUCUAAUAUCUGGUGUACUACAGAGGUUACAGGUAAAGUUCAUUUGCUGGAAACUAACAAAACCUGUGAUAACACUGAUGAAGAAGACUAUACCUAUCAGGAGUUAGAACUGAGACCCUCCACAAAGGUAAACUUAUAGAAGAUAAAUGGCCUAAGCAAAAUCUAAACUUAGCAUCUCAAGAAGUCCAGAGGUUCUUGAACAAGCUGGAGUAAUUGAACACCAGGCAGAGGUCACUGUUACAGAGAGGGGAAAGAGAAUCAUUCAGUUAAUCCAAAAAUAUGCAGAAGUUUGUUCUGGUUUCAUCAGAUGGCUCUCUUGUCUGAUUGGGUCUGCCUCUAGUAGUGAUAAAAUCUUAAAAGUUACCUUUUUUGCCUCCUUCUGAUAAUUUGUAUCCUUUUCUUACCCUGAGGUUGUGUUAACUGAUAAAAUGGAAAAAAAACUAAAGUCUCAAACAGUGUUAAUCAACACUGUUGCUCGAGAAUACUUUCAAAUCAAGUUUCGUCAGUUCCAUUCCUCUAUUCUCUAUGAUGCCCCUUGUCAGCAGGAAGUAGCCAGAUAGAAAUGAUAGCCAUAUAAGAUUAUAGAAUGGAUAACUGACAGUGAGAAAUUGAUACUGGCCUGAAGUAAGUUUGAUAUGAGGGAAGCUAUGUUGUAACUUAGAAUAACCUCUGACUAAACCACCCAAGCUGUAUGUUUUACCUUGCACUAGCCUAGGAGAUAAAUAGCUACCCUCUAGGAAAUAAUCCUGGCUGACAAAUGUACAGCCCAAUAGAUAUGGAUGAUAACUUUGUUAUUUUGAGUUUCUUAGGAACAUGGUGACCUCCUCAGAGAAGAACAUCUAUGCUGGCAUAUAUCAUCGAAGACAACUGAAAGACCUGUGGCAUCUCCAGUCACUGAUGCCAGAUAGUCAAUGUUCCUGAGCCCCUCCUUCAUAGCUCACUAGUCUCUAUACAACUGCCUCAAGAUUAUAUGCUUGUUUAAGAUGGUCUUUGGGACAUGAGCCUACCGUCUUCUGAUUUUGCUGGCUAAUCAAAUUAAUUCCUUUCUCAACCACUGACUCAUUUGUAGUUGAUUGCCUUCAGGGUUGUGGCAAGCAGAAUGAGCCCUUGCUUGGUUACAGAAUUUGUCUGACUUCCAAAUGUUUGGGAAUAAGAUAACUGGAGAGUCUGAUCAGCACCUGCCAAGGGUGUCAUUGCUGAAGACUGGUCCUGUGCAGUUCAGAUCCUUAGCUGUGUGUCCCACACAUGCUCACUUGUUGUUUCCAAGCUCAGAAAUUGUGCUAGGUUGGCUGGGUCAAAGUGAAGGUUAUGUUGGUAGCACUGUCUCAUGCUACCCUAGAUCUAGCCUCUGAGCUUCAGGGCCCUCUAUUGUGCCCAGGCCAUUAGAUACCUCCUGCCUUGUGGUGAGAUCUCUUUGGUGCCCCGCAUAUCCUUUCCUCUCAGCAGACCUAAAGGGCCAGGAGCAACUGGUCCAGCCAAGGUGCUGGGAAUUAGAAUCUGGGAAUAAGUUCAGGGCUGGGAUCUCAGAAGACUCCUGGGCUGCUAUUGAAAACUCAUCCUCUCCUUCCAGGAGAUUUGCCUCCCAGGGAGUGGUAGCUUUUGCUAAAGUCUGGAUGUAAGAGUAUCCUCUGUGGUCUGACUGCUUGACUUUGAAUCCUGGCUUUACCAUUUCUAAGCUGAGUAAUCUUGUGCAAUUUGCUUAAUCUGUUUAAGAUUCAAUUUGCUCAUCUGUGAAAGAGGGUUUAUUAGAGUACCUUCCCCUUAGGAUCCCCAAGAGGAUUAAAUGAGGUAAUCCAUGUGAAGUAUAUAGUGUAGUUCCUGGCAUGAAAAUACUCAAUAAAAGUUAGCUGCAAAAUUAUUAUGCUACAUAAAACCCAAUAGGUCCUAUUACACCAAAAUGGAAGUUUUGGUACAAGGGGACUGUUUCUUCAUUGUGUGGAGAAAUGGCUGGAAACUUAUUUCUUGUUUAAAAAAAUCUGUCUUAACGUCAUUGAUUAGUAAGUUUAAACUGUUUGUCCCCAACUUUAUUUGCUGUAUUUACUCUUUGGUGAAUUGUCAGUUAAUACUUUUCUUGUUUUCUGCAUUCUUUGUAUUUUUUUAGCUAAACUUUUUAUUUUGAGAUAACUGCAUAUUCUUAUGCAGUAAUAAGAAAUAAUACAGAGAGAUUCCAUGUAACCUUUCCCUCAGUUUCCUGAGCAUCUCUGUGUGUGUAUUUAUUUAUUUUUCCAGUCUCUUUCUCUCUCUGGUUCAAAUUGGAUCAUUUCUAUUGUCCUAUCUUCAAAGUCACUAAUUCUUUCUUCUGUCCUCUACAUUCUGUGGUUGAG
rnacentral:lncRNA from 1 species